ensembl:snRNA U6 U6 spliceosomal RNA
GUGCUCACUUUGGCAGCACAUAUACUAAAAUUGGAUACAGAGAUAGAAGAUUAGCAUGACCCCUGCGCAAGGAUGACACACAAAUUUGUGAAGUGUUUCAUAUUUUU